AAUCUUUCAGAGUUCUCAGUACAUCUUCUGUGGAACGUAUUUUUAUGAAACUAGGCCCAAGAGAUAAAUUUCUUGCGAAUUGGAGAAAAAUAUUUCAAGUUCCAAACUUAACUUUUGCCAACGUCGAUGAUCCUCUUCUAGAAAUUAAUAACGCAGGAAUUAUUAUCGACGACAAUAGGACUGAAGACACGGAAUUGCGUACUAAAUCCACAAACGAAAAUGUGAGGAAUCAUUCAGAUUCAGUGCGCGAAAGGGACAUACAUAUUUACGGGUUAUUGAAAAUGUCUGUAGAAGGAAUAGCUACGUUAAAAUAUUACGAUGAGAAUACAAUUUUGACUAAUGAGCAUAGGCUCAAGAUAUCUGAUAUAAUUAUUUGACAUGAACUGAAGCCGGA